rnacentral:rRNA from 1 species
CACGGGGGGAGCAAGCGUUGUUCGGAAUCACUGGGCGUAAAGGGCGCGUAGGCGGCCAUCUAAGUCAGACGUGAAAUCCCCCGGCUUAACCUGGGAACUGCGUCUGAUACUGGAAGGCUUGAGUAUGGGAGAGGGAUGUAGAAUUCCAGGUGUAGCGGUGAAAUGCGUAGAUAUCUGGAGGAAUACCGGUGGCGAAGGCGGCAUCCUGGACCAUUACUGACGCUGAGGCGCGAAAGCUAGGGGAGCAAACGGG